rnacentral:rRNA from 1 species
AGAGUUUGAUCUUGGCUCAGGACGAACGCUGGCGGCGUGCCUAAUGCAUGCAAGUCGAACGAGAACCAUUCCGUUCGUAAGAACGGGAUGGGGACAGUGGCGAACGGGUGCGUAACACGUGAGGAACCUGCCCUGGAGAUCGGGACAGCCCGGGGAAACCCGGAUUAAUACCGAAUAUUCUCACGGAGUCGCAUGGCUCUGUGAGGAAAUGGUCAGCCGCUCCAGGAUGGCCUCGCGGCCUAUCAGCUUGUUGGUGGGGUAACGGCCCACCAAGGCAGAGACGGGUAGCUGGUCUGAGAGGACGAUCAGCCACACUGGGACUGAGACACGGCCCAGACUCCUACGGGAGGCAGCAGCAGGGAAUAUUGCACAAUGGGCGCAAGCCUGAUGCAGCGACGCCGCGUGCGGGAUGAAGGCCCUCGGGUUGUAAACCGCUUUCAGCAGGGACGAAAAUGACGGUACCUGCAGAAGAAGCCCCGGCCAACUACGUGCCAGCAGCCGCGGUAACACGUAGGGGGCGAGCGUUGUCCGGAUUUAUUGGGCGUAAAGGGCUCGUAGGUGGCUUGACAAGUCGGUCGUGAAAACCCGGGGCUCAACCCCGGGACGCCGGUCGAAACUGUCAUGGCUAGGGUCCGGUAGAGGUGAGUGGAAUUCUCGGUGUAGCGGUGAAAUGCGCAGAUAUCGAGAGGAACACCAGUAGCGAAGGCGGCUCACUGGGCCGGUACCGACACUGAGGAGCGAAAGCGUGGGGAGCAAACAGGAUUAGAUACCCUGGUAGUCCACGCCGUAAACGUUGAACACUAGGUGUGGCGGAUUUUAUCAACGUCUGCUGUGCCGCAGCUAACGCAUUAAGUGUUCCGCCUGGGGAGUACGGCCGCAAGGCUAAAACUCAAAGGAAUUGACGGGGCCCCGCACAAGC